CGGCCCGUGGCUCGGCAUCCAGGGAGCCGGGGGAGGCUGCGGUGGCCACACCCUCGGGCUGGGCCGCCUCCAAACCACCUGCGUCUCAUCUGAGGCAAUCACCGGAGGGCUACUUCAGCCAGCUCUGACGGCUUCUCCCCGCCAGUCCGUACAAGUCUUCCUAGCGUGACCUGCAUUCAGCGUGGAGAUCCGUGGCCUGCCUGUCCUCCUGCCUCCCUCCCAAGGAUUCCCUCCACGGGCUCCUCCCCCUCCAAGCUCCACGGUCCUGCUCUACCUUUUCCCCUCGGUCCCGAUUGCGGUGCUCCUGGGCUCCGCGCACCUUGUUUUCCCGUGGCACGAGCCUUAGCUUUUCGUUUCCUUAAGCGUUGUUAAAAGAUUCCUCAGUUCAAUAAAAACUUGUAUAUAGUUCUGA